rnacentral:tRNA from 1 species
CAGGGGAAGAGGGAUUGAAGGACGCCUGAACAGAACCCAAAAAGGAAAAAAUGCCACGUAGAGGAGGGAGGGGAGAACGUAACUCCCAUUGCCUAAAACCCGCCUCUGGCCACAGGCACGGACGGGGUUCGAACCCGCGAUCUUCGGUUUACGAGACCGACGCCUUACCACUUGGCCACCGCGCCUGACAGCCGAGCGAGUGGCGGAAGCUCUCAGUGGAGGGGGACGUGGCGCAGGCGCAGGCGCAGGCGCGGGGCGGCGGGCGGACACUCUCCGACACGCCGUCUCCUGGGCCGGCGCCAUGGGAGCCGAAAGCUGGGGAGAAGCCCUGCGCCCCAUGGGCGCCAAACCCGUGCUCCGGGCCGCGGGGGGCGCAAGUUGGGGGUCUGAGAGGCAAAACCCUCUCCUAGCACCCCGCCCGGGCCUCGGGCAGGGUGAACGCUGCCCACGUCCCCUGAGACGCGGGAACCUCGCCCCAAGCGCCGCUGCGGGCUCCCGCGGAGGGUCGCGAUAGGGCGAAGCGGGGGAAGGGCGCCGAGCCACGAGGCUGAGGGCCAGGGCUGGUGAGAAGCUCGGAGAUGCGCCGAAGCGGGCUGACGCAGGCGGAGCACCGGCCGGGAGAGGUGCGGGGAGAGGCCGCGUGGGACUGGGUACGAAGGAACUGAAACCCUACCCGUCCAACGACCUUUCCCUUUUUCUUCCUCUGGAACCUGAAACAAUCAUUCUACUUUUGGAGGCGUGCCUUAGAUGUGGCACCUAAGUUCUGCUGUGACCCUGAAACUCUGACACAGUAAGAAAGAGAUGAACUAGCAAGUCAUGAAAACACACAGAAGAACCUUAAGUCUGUAUCAUGAAGUGAAAGGAACUUCGAGGCUCGUGUGUUGGAAGCUUUAGACCCAUGUGGGCUUUCAGGAGAGGGGCCUAGGAGCUGCCGCCCACAGUGGGUUAGUGCUGCUGUCCUGGAGCAGGGUCCUUGCCAGGUGAUCCAUUUAGCUCCCACUCGCCUUCUCUGCUCAUCUACCACGAGAUGCCAUAGAGCAGCAAGAAGGCCCUUGCCAGAUGCCAACCCUUCUAGCUGCUUCCUAGCCACUAGAAGUACAAGACUGUAAACUUCUGUGUAUCAUAAAUUCCUUCGUCUGAUACCUGUAAUCCCUUGGGAGGCUGAGGCAGGCAGAUCGACACAAGUUUGAGGCCAACCUGGACUACAUAGUGAAUUCAAGGCCAGCCCAAAUGACAUAGUGAGAUCUUGUCUCAAAAAAAUAAAAUAAAUUAUGGCAGCGUGACACAGACUAAGACAGAUGCCAAUCUGAAAAGGUUACAGACUACAUAAUUCUGUGAUGUUCUGGAAAAGGCAAAACUAUGGAGACAAUCGAAAGAUCAGUGGUUUCCAGGAGUUGAGCAGAGGGCAGGAUGAACUGUAGAGCAGAGACAAUUUUUAGGAAGGUGAAACUAUUCUGGCUGCUGCUGUCAUGGAAGAUACACGUUGUUACACGUGUGUGGAAAUCCAUGGGACACGCGUCACUGGCAGGGGGCCCUUAGGGUAACAAGGUGCUAGUGUAGGUUCAGCAGUGGUAACGAAUGUACCCUGGUGGGUCAGGAUGGGGAGGGAUGGGGCACGGACAUAUGGGAACUGCU